UACAGAGGUCUCAAGCGUUGUUCGGAUUCAUUGGGCGUAAAGGGUGCGUAGGUGGCGCGCUAAGUCGGGUGUGAAAUUUCGGAGCUUAACUCCGAAACUGCAUUCGAUACUGGCGUGCUUGAGGACUGGAGAGGAGACUGGAAUUCAUGGUGUGGCAGUGAAAUGCGUAGAGAUCAUGAGGAAGACCAGUGGCGAAGGCGGGUCUCUGGACAGUUCCUGACACUGAGACACGAAGGCCAGGGGAGCAAACGGG
rnacentral:rRNA from 1 species